rnacentral:rRNA from 1 species
GUUGGUUCUACCCGAAGCCGCCGGGCUAACCGCAAGGAGGCAGGCGUCUACGGUAGUGCUGAUGAUUGGGGUGAAGUCGUAACAAGGUAGCCGUAGGUGAACCUGCAGAAGGAUCA